AGACUCCAAGAGUGGAGUGUUACAAGUCCUGGAAGGUGCUCCCACUCGACAGCACCAUGAAGCUCCUAGUCGUCCUCUGCCUCGUCUUGGUCGCUCACACACUCCAGGGCUUCCCUCACGACCCCAAUACAGCACCACCACCGCCCAUCACUCCCCCCAGGGCGCCCUUGGACCCUCGCCACCAGCUCCCCCCGGCAGGAGUUGUGGCGAGGGACACUUAGAGCCUUCACAACAGCGGCAUCUCUACGGGUCUUCGUAGCCAGCUUCCUUCACAGAGCGCUGGGUUACCCUGGUGAUGAAGGUGAAUGGUCAAAACACGUCAUCACUCUCCUACAGGACAAAGAGAAAUAGGAAGAUUUUUAAUUUUUUUUUAUUUUGACUUAUUUCAUUUGCCUUAAUACAUUACAGUAUGAAUAUUAUUAGUUUAUUAAAGUGUUUGCAGGUCAGAUCCAUUGAGACAAAACUCUUUUAAGGACCCAUCUUAAGAGAAGUGAUUAUUGAAUAUUUAAACAUUUAUGUAAAGCCAAUAUACAAUGCAAUGUAGGAUAUUAGUUUCUAUAUUGAUGCCUACCCGUUCUGAA